GACGGUAUAUAAGACGGUUAGAUUUCUACAUGUUUCUCUAAGGCAUCUUAUGUCAAAAUGGAAAUUUCUUCGGAACAUUUUUCCCAGCUGGAUAAAAGCUUGACAGAGGAGUCCUUGAGUGAUCUGGAUAUGAAAUUAAAAACGGCAGCAGGCCUAUGAGGAUCAUUAUGACUCACUUAUCCAGUUGUAAAUGAGGAGUCAUGGACUUCUGCUCCUUUGGGAAUCUCCAGCCCUUUGAAAAGAAAAUAGAGGUUAAAAAUCUGCUAAACGAGUUAGCAGCAACCUGGAUCCUUGUCUUCCACAGAUCUCAAAACUGCCCCCGUGCAGGGAGACAAUUUCUCAUCAGGCACCAGCAGCCGCAGCACCAAGCUCAUUCACGGAGGAGUCCGAUAUCUACAGAAAGCCAUCAUGAAAUUGGAUU